UCCAGGGUAUGCCUAGUGGAUAUGGCAUCUGCCCGGUAAGCGGAACACUUUUGGGUUCGAUUCCCAUCCCUGGAU
rnacentral:tRNA from 1 species